GGCCGCAGCUUACCAUGCAGUCGAGCGGUAACAGGGGGUGCUUGCACCCCGCUGACGAGCGGCGGACGGGUGAGUAAUGCAUAGGAAUCUGCCCAGUAGUGGGGGAUAGCCCGGGGAAACCCGGAUUAAUACCGCAUACGCCCUUUGGGGGAAAGCAGGGGAUCUUCGGACCUUGCGCUAUUGGAUGAGCCUAUGUCGGAUUAGCUAGUUGGUGGGGUAAAGGCCUACCAAGGCGACGAUCCGUAGCUGGUCUGAGAGGAUGAUCAGCCACAUCGGGACUGAGACACGGCCCGAACUCCUACGGGAGGCAGCAGUGGGGAAUAUUGGACAAUGGGGGCAACCCUGAUCCAGCCAUGCCGCGUGUGUGAAGAAGGCUUUCGGGUUGUAAAGCACUUUCAGUGAGGAGGAAAACCUUCUGGUUAAUACCCAUGAGGCUUGACGUUACUCACAGAAGAAGCACCGGCUAACUCCGUGCCAGCAGCCGCGGUAAUACGGAGGGUGCAAGCGUUAAUCGGAAUUACUGGGCGUAAAGCGCGCGUAGGUGGUUUGAUAAGCGAGAUGUGAAAGCCCCGGGCUUAACCUGGGAACGGCAUUUCGAACUGUCA
rnacentral:rRNA from 1 species